CGGUACCGAAAGAGGAAGCCCCGGCUAACUACGUGCCAGCAGCCGCGGUAAUACGUAGGGGGCAAGCGUUGUCCGGAAUCACUGGGCGUAAAGCGUGCGUAGGCGGUUAUGUAUGUCUGGAGUGAAAGUCCAGGGCUCAACCCUGGGAUUGCCUUAGAAACUGCCUGACUUGAGUGCUGGAGAGGCAAGGGGAAUUCCGCGUGUAGCGGUGGAAUGCGUAGAUAUGCGGAGGAAUACCAGUGGCGAAGGCGCCUUGCUGGACAGUGACUGACGCUGAGGCACGAAAGCGUGGGGAGCAAACAGGAUUAGAUACCCUGGUAGUCCACGCCGUAAACGAUGAGUGCUAGGUGUUGGGGGGUACGCCCCCUCAGUGCUCGAAGGAAACCGCAAUAA
rnacentral:rRNA from 1 species